rnacentral:rRNA from 1 species
ACAGAGAGUGCAAACGUUGUUCGGAAUUACUGGGCUUGAAGCGCACGUAGGCGGCGUUGUAAGUGUCGGGUGAAAUCCCACGGCUCACCCGUGGAACUGCUGGGCAUACUGGCGAUCUUGAGCCACCUAGGGGCAGACGGAACAAGCGGUGGAGCGGUGAAAUGCGUAGAUAUCGCUUGGAACGCCGACGGUGAAAACAGUCUGCUGGGGGUGUGCUGACGCUGAGACACGAAAGCCAGGGGAGCGAACGGGA